UACGAAGGGGGCUAGCAUUGUUCGGAAUUACUGGGCGUAAAGCGCACGUAGGCGGACAUUUAAGUUGGAGGUGAAAGCCUUGGGCUCAACCCAAGAAUUGCCUUUGAUACUGGAUGUCUCGAGACCGGGAGAGGUGAGUGGAAUUCCGAGUGUAGAGGUGAAAUUCGUAGAUAUUCGGAAGAACACCAGUGGCGAAGGCGGCUCACUGGCCCGGUUCUGACGCUGAGGUGCGAAAGCGUGGGGAGCGAACAGG
rnacentral:rRNA from 1 species